rnacentral:rRNA from 1 species
UACGUAGGGUACGAGCGUUGUCCGGAAUUAUUGGGCGUAAAGAGCUCGUAGGCGGUCUGUCGCGUCGGGAGUGAAAACUCGGGGCUUAACCCCGAGCGUGCUUCCGAUACGGGCAGACUGGAGGGAUGCAGGGGAGAAUGGAAUUCCUGGUGUAGCGGUGGAAUGCGCAGAUAUCAGGAGGAACACCGAUGGCGAAGGCAGAUCUCUGGGCCGUAACUGACGCUGAGGAGCGAAAGCAUGGGGAGCGAACAGG